rnacentral:rRNA from 1 species
AGGACUGCGGAAGGACAUUA